rnacentral:rRNA from 1 species
UACGUAGGUGGCAAGCGUUGUCCGGAUUUAUUGGGUUUAAAGGGUGCGUAGGCGGUCUUUUAAGUCAGUGCUGAAAUACUCCAGCUUAACUGGAGGGGUGGCAUUGAUACUGGAAGACUUGAGUGUAGUCGAAGUAGGCGGAAUUGACGGUGUAGCGGUGAAAUGCUUAGAUAUCGUCAAGAACACCGAUAGUGAAGACAGCUUACUAGGCUACAACUGACGCUGAGGCACGAAAGUGUGGGGAUCAAACAGG